GACGAACGCUGGCGGCGUGCUUAACACAUGCAAGUCGAACGGAGAAAUCAGCAAUGAUUUCUUAGUGGCGAACGGGUGAGUAACGCGUAGACAACCUACCUCAAAGAUGGGGACAACACCGCGAAAGUGGUGCUAAUACCGAAUGUGCUAAUGUUACCUCAUGGUGAUAUUAGGAAAGGUGGCCUCUGAAUAUGCUACCGCUUUGAGAUGGGUCUGCGUCUGAUUAGCUAGUUGGUGAGGUAACGGCUCACCAAGGCGACGAUCAGUAGCCGGUCUGAGAGGAUGAGCGGCCACACUGGGACUGAGACACGGCCCAGACUCCUACGGGAGGCAGCAGUGGGGAAUCUUCCGCAAUGGACGAAAGUCUGACGGAGCAACGCCGCGUGAGUGAAGAAGGCCUUCGGGUUGUAAAGCUCUGUCUUUGGGGACGAACGUGCCUAUUAUAAAUAAUGAUAGGUAAUGACGGUACCUAAGGAGGAAGCCACGGCUAACUACGUGCCAGCAGCCGCCGUAACAC
rnacentral:rRNA from 1 species